UAAUAAAUAACCCUCAUCAUCAUCACAGAGAUCCCAGUUCCUGCUGGAGUCAGAACAUUUCCAUAGAGCCACUUUGCAUCAGCAGCUCCAUGCUCCAGUGAUCUGGGAGAGUUUAUAGUCCUGAGAGUUGAACACUGGAUGACUGACAGCUGUCCUUCAUCACAACAGAAGACACAGAAAUCCUCCUCAUCAAAAACAUGACUUUGAUCUACGUCCUCAUCUGGACUCUCCUCUGCUUCACUCAGGGUUCAUCAGGAGACAUCAUCCUAACUCAGACUCCUGGAUCACAGUCUGUUGUUCCAGGUCAGACUGUCUCCAUCAGAUGUGAAACCAAUUCUAAUGUUAAUAGCUACCUCCACUGGUACCUUCAGAAACCUGCAGGAGCUCCUAAACUCCUGAUUUAUUCAGCUUCAAACCGUCAGUCUGGAAUUCCAGCUCGUUUCAGUGGAAGUGGAUAUGGUGCUGACUUCACUCUGACCAUCAGUGGAGUUCAGGCUGAAGACUCAGGAGUUUAUUACUGUCAGCAGGGUAGCAGCUACCCGUUCACACAGUGAUAGAACGUCGUACAAAAACCUCCUCAGCUGGAGAGGAACUGAUCUGACUCAACAGCUGUUCUUAAACUAAACACUAAACUUUUCUUCAAAUGUUCAACUCUUCAUUAGUUAUGAAAAACUGGUUCUUAUGUACUUUUUGUUUUUAUACCCAUAGUUUGUUUGCUUGUUUUAAAUGUUCUAAGUAAAUCAGUUAGAGAUUUAUGUGUUCGGGUA